AGGUCUGAUUGCGUUAUAUAUGGAUACAGUAAGGUGAAGGAUGAAUACUGGUAUUAUAUAUGGAUACAGUAAGGUGAAGGAUGAAGCAGGUCUGAUUGCGUUAUAUAUGGAUACAGUAAGGUGAAGGAUGAAGCAGGUCUAAUUGCGUUAUAUAUGGAUACAGUAAGGUGAAGGAUGAAGCAGGUCUAAUUGCGUUAUAUAUGGAUACAGUAAGGUGAAGGAUGAAGCAGGUCUAAUUGCGUUAUAUAUGGAUACAGUAAGGUGAAGGAUGAAGCAGGUCUAAUUGCGUUAUAUAUGGAUACAGUAAGGUGAAGGAUGAAGCAGGUCUAAUUUGCGUUAUAUAUGGAUACAGUAAGGUAGGUCUAAUUGCGUUAUAUAUGGAUACAGUAAGGUGAGGGCCGUUGUGCCUCUCCUCCGUUUCCGUUCCUCUAAGAGGGUAAUGAUUCAUGAGUCCAGCUCACUCCUCCCUCGUCCCUAAGGCUGCUGGGAGGAAUAGCUGACAUUAUCUCGUCCAAAUGGGUUUGAAAACGCUGCCGGCCAGGUCGAACAAGGCGUGUGUGUGUGUGUGUGUGUGUCAACCAAGGCGAGGGACUGAUUUAUAGCGCAAGAUGCUGAGAACAGUUAUCCGCAGCUUCCUUCCCUGGCAGCAAUGGUGUAGUGUGUUUUUUUUCCUCUCCUCCUUCUCUGUGCGGCUAAGGUUCAAGUUUAUUCCAGCCAUGUAUUUGUGAAGGUAAAGAAGGAGAAAAACACUACUCGUUGGAAUUUAUGACAGCAAAGUUGUUGUGGAUUUGCCGCCCAGCCGCCGGCGUGGAAAGUAGUGUUUUCAAGUGUCAGGGACAAGGAUAAGCCAUUUUUGGUGACCUUUAUCUUUCUCUGUCAAGAGGUAUACUGUGGGGCCUUGCACUUGAGGUUAGUAGAAAUAAUGUCUCUGGGAAAAUAGGAAAUAACUCUUUGGGUUUUAAAUCUUGGGAUCGGAACACCUCAUUGGUUCAAAUGGUGGGAAAUGCUCUCGACUUCAGAUCAAAUGUCUACCAAGUAUUAUACCUAGAAAAAAAGAAAAAGGUUUCUCGGCAAAAAAAAAACGAUAAAAAAGAAAAAAAAAUUAGUGGGAAGGAAAAUAGCCUUUUGUUUUUUAGUAUGGCGGUUGGUUGGGAUGUUUGUGUAAUUGCUUGCAGCUGCCAGAGGAAAAGAAGAGAACACGGAACACCGAGAAGCAUGAAUUAGUGAAGGCACUCCUAUUGGCUGUCCUCCUAGCCCUCACAUAUCACCAGAAUCAUUCUUCUAACGAGGAAUUCAGAUUGCUAUCGCUGUGCUCGAAUGGAUGAUUGGGAUGAUGACGUAUUGGGUCACUCAGUCAAAAGGAGACCUAUUACAGACUGGAUGCAUUUUUUGACUGAGUGGUUUACAGCUACAUUGUCCUGAACCCCAAGGCAACAACAAUGGUUACACUUCUAAACUAUUGACCAGAACACCGUUUUUGAUUUCUGUUGGCUCUCGUUGUCCUUCUAGCCUUCACUAAAUCAUUAUUCUUAGAAGAAGGAAUUCAUAUUGAUCUUGGACGGUCCAUGUAUCUGUCAGAAACCUAUUGUUGACAAAGUGCUUAACAACCACAACCGCCAUAACAACCUCCACCACCUUGAUCAACCUUAAACAACCGCCUCGAUCAACCUUAAACAACCACCUUGAUCAACCUUAAACAACCACCUUGAUCAACCUUAAACAACCACCUAGAUCAACCUUAAACAACCACCUUAAUCAACCUUAAACAACCGCCUUGAUCAACCACAAACAACCACCUUGACCAACCUUAAACAACCGCCUUAAACAACCACCUUGAUCAACCUUAAACAACCGCCUUAAUCAACCGCAACUACCUUGAUCAACAAAACCACCUAGAUCAACCACAACCACCUUGAUCAACCUUAAAAAGCCACCUUGACCAACCUUAAACAACCACCUUAAACAACCACCUUGAUCAACCUUAAACAACCGCCUUAAUCAACCGCAACUACCUUGAUCAACAAAACCACCUAGAUCAACCACAACCACCUUGAUCAACCACAACCACCUUGAUCAACCUUGAUCAACCACCUUGAUCAACCUUGAUCAACCACCUUAAUCAACCUUAAACAACCACCUUAAUCAACCUUAAACAACCACCUUAAUCAACCUUAAACAACCACCUUAAUCAACCUUAAACAUCCACCUUAAUCAACCUUAAACAACCACCUUAAUCAACCUUAAACAACCACCUUGAUCAACCUUAAACAACCACCUUGAUCAACCUUAAACAACCACCUAGAUCAACCUUAAACAACCACCUAGAUCAACCUUAAACAACCACCUAGAUCAACCUUAAACAACCACCUAGAUCAACCUUAAACAACCACCUAGAUCAACCUUAAACAACCACCUUGACCAACCUUAAACAAACACCUUGAUCAACCUUAAACAAACACCUUGAUCAACCACCUUAAUCAACCUUAAACAACCACAUUGAUCAACCACAACCACCUUAAUCAACCACAACCACCUUAAUCAACCACAACCACCUUAAUCAACCACAACCACCUUAAUCAACCUUAAACAACCACCUUAAUCAACCACCUUAAUCAACCUUAAACAACCACCUUAAUCAGCCUUAAACAACCACCUUAAUCAACCUUAAACGACCACCUUGAUCAACCUUAAACGACCACCUUAAACAACCAUAAUCUACCAAAGUGUUGCUCCAACAGUGUUUGUUUUGUUUUUGUUGUUAUGAAUGCCAUCCCAUUGACAUCUGAGUCAUUUAGCAGGCACUCUUAUCCAGAGCGACUCAGUGAGUCAU